AUCUGGUUGGUAAAUAUCGAUCGUACUAUCGGCCGGGGUCAGCUUUUUUUGGCAGAAGCAUCGCUGCGCCUUGUUUCAUCCAUGGGUACGCACUAGUACUACUAGUACGGGCAGGGGCAGGGCAGAGGCAGUUGACGCAUCGGCUGUUGAACAUACGUAUGAUGAAUUGUAGAAGUUGCUUGAGAGGAUUGUCAAACUUGCUGAGAUCGUUGAGUUCCAUGGUAAAAUAUCGAAGCUUCUUGAAGAAAUACGUGUCGGAGGCGACGUGCCGAGAAGAAGAAAUUGCUAAAUCUGCGGCUAGCCAUGCCACAACAGGCUAACUUGGGUGGACGCAACUCCGGAUAGACCGGUAGAUGAUAAGGAGACUUUUCUCUUGUAGUUUGAUUUUACGUGAACUAGUUGUUGUGAUUUGUAUGACCGGAGAAUCGGUGAUAUAUCUAGAAUAUCUAAAUGUUCAAUUUAUUUCCAGUGUUGUCAAACCAGUGUUCUCCCAAUUUAUGAAUGAAACCAUUGUGUUUGA